rnacentral:rRNA from 1 species
UACAGAGACCUCAAGCGUUAUCCGGAAUCAUUGGGCGUAAAGCGUACCGAUAGGUGGUCUUGAAAGUUUUGGGUAAAAGCCAGAAGCUCAACUUCUGAGUUUGCUCAAAAUACUGCAAGACUAGAGGGGCAAAGAGGAGAUUGGAACGAACGGUGUAGUAGUGAAAUGCGUUGAUAUCGUUCGGAACACCGAAAGCGAAGGCAGAUCUCUGGGUGCCACCUGACACUGCUAGGACGAAAGCGUGGGGAGCGAAUGGG